rnacentral:misc_RNA from 1 species
GAUGAAGAACGUAGCAAAAUGCGAUAAGUAAUGUGAAUUGCAGAAUUCAGUGAAUCAUCGAAUCUUUGAACGCACAUUGCGCCCGCCAAUAUUCUGGCGGGCAUGCCUGUUCGAGCGUCAUUUCAACCCUCAAGCCCUCGGGUUUGGUGUUGGGGAUCGGCGAGCCUUUCUGGCAAGCCGGCCCCGAAAUCUAGUGGCGGUCUCGCUGCAGCCUCCAUUGCGUAGUAGUAAAACCCUCGCAACUGGAACGCGGCGCGGCCAAGCCGUUAAACCCCCAACUUCUGAAUGUUGACCUCGGAUCAGGUAGGAAUACCCGCUGAACUUAAGCAUAUCAAUAAGCGGAGGA